UGCUUUCUGGUGCUUACCUACAAAUCCCCCCUGUGACCGUCUGAAUGUGCCCUGAUCAGCAGUAAAGCAUCUGUGGCCACAGGGAAGAGUCAGACUACUAAAGCCUAGCUCUCCAUUGUCUCUCACUCUGAACAAAACCAGCCAGGGCCUCUCCCCGCCCCCCAUGUGGAUGAGACCGGGCUGAAGAGAGAGCAGAGAGGGGCAGCGCCUGGCUGGAUGUAAGUUAGACGAUGAUGACUGAAGAGGAGACUACUUCCUGUGAUGUCAUCAUGACAGCUGUCAAAGAAGACUCACAUGAGAGGAUCAUGUCCAGACAAGACCAAGAGGAAAAGCUCACUAUUACAGACUGGUACAGUAUGUUUCUAUGCAUCCCCUCCAGUGUGUGACUCUCCAGCAGCAGGAGCUGAGGCUGUCUGAGGGCUCUUGUAGGCCUCCAGGCCAAGCCCAGUCCUUCCUGGCCCAGCAGAGGCAGUCCACCCAGGCCAGGAGCAGGAGAGGCAUGGGGCUCUCUCCCAAGCUACAGCCCAGAUAGGAGGGAGAGAUGGAAGGAGAGGUCCCUCUGUUGAGGGUGGUGGGAUUGACACUGGAUGGACAAGGAACGUUGGAAGAGGAUGUUGAUGGGAUUUUUCUGGCUGUUUAAAAAAAUAUUGGAUGUUAAAAAAAACUAUUUUAUGUAACAUUGGCGCCACCUGCUGGUCAAAUGGUAUUGGUGUUCGUUUUUUGUCCAUCUCAGUUUGAAUCUAAAAGUUAAAGGAAUAGAUAGGACAGUAAAGGAACAUCACUAUUACAAUGUGUUGCCAAUGGAUAUUUGCGCUUGGAAUAAAAUAUCAACAUGA